AAUAACAAGGUUAAAUGGACAAGGCUGAAUGGCCCUGUGAUGGGGAGUGCCUUUAAGCCACAUGACGGAAAUGAAACAGGAGCCAUAAUGACCAUGACUGGAGGAGAAUCAGAUUCUGGCCUGGCCUGGUUCUGUGAGAUACCUUAAAUCAUACUUUCUGUAGCAUCCCUUAAAGGUGGGUAGAGAGAAGGAGAGAGUUAAGUGUGGGUGCAGUCAUCCUCAGGAUGGUUGAUCUCUAAAUCUAUUCUUGGGCAAAAGUUUAGAGAAAAGCUGAAUCACUCAGCCCAGAGGAAGCCUGAGGAGGCAUAAAGAAGUCUUGGAAAUCCCCUGAAAAAAAGAAUCAGCUGUAGGCUAACCCAAGAAGAAUAAAGCAUCGGCUUCCCUGACAUGCUGCUCCCCCCAAAACAGAGUGCCAAUAUGAUUCCAAGGUUCUUAGCACACUGUAUAUUACCUCACUCCUCCUACAGGUGGCUUGGAUAUUCCAUUUAAGGAAGAU
rnacentral:lncRNA from 1 species